UGUGGAAUAUUGCACAAUGGGCGCAAGCCUGAUGCAGCCAUGCCGCGUGUAUGAAGAAGGCCUUCGGGUUGUAAAGUACUUUCAGCGAGGAGGAAGGCGUUGUGGUUAAUAACCGCAACGAUUGACGUUACUCGCAGAAGAAGCACCGGCUAACUCCGUGCCAGCAGCCGCGGUAAUACGGAGGGUGCAAGCGUUAAUCGGAAUUACUGGGCGUAAAGCGCACGCAGGCGGUCUGUCAAGUCGGAUGUGAAAUCCCCGGGCUCAACCUGGGAACUGCAUCCGAAACUGGCAGGCUAGAGUCUUGUAGAGGGGGGUAGAAUUCCAGGUGUAGCGGUGAAAUGCGUAGAGAUCUGGAGGAAUACCGGUGGCGAAGGCGGCCCCCUGGACAAAGACUGACGCUCAGGUGCGAAAGCGUGGGGAGCAAACA
rnacentral:rRNA from 1 species